UGGUGAUAGUCAUACAAGAAAUUCUUCUUCGCAGUCUUCCAGCUCUGAAAGAACAGCAAAGCUCUUUUUGAUAGCAAGGGUCAUAAAUAUGGAAUCAAACGGAAAUCCCUUGAUGGAAAGAAAAUUACAUGGAGAUGUACAGUCCGUUGGGAGAAAGAAAACUGUCCAGGCAUUGUUAAAGAAGAGAAUGGGGUUUAUCGAGAAACUAUAAAACACACUUGCCAAAAGAAAAAAGACGUGCACGUACAGGCUAGAGUCUACUCAAAAUGUAAGGAGGAGAUACGGAAAAACCGACACGCAG